rnacentral:rRNA from 1 species
UUUUUUAUCUUGCUAAUUUAUAUUAAUAAGGGAAUUAUAUUUGAAAAAUAAUUUAAUUAGGGUAAUUAAAAGUAAUUAUUAAUGAAUUUAAAUUAUAAUGGCUAUAGGGGAGAGUACUGUAAAGGAAGAAAUUAAUAAAUAAAGGAGAAAGUAGAAAUUUAUUUUUGUACCUUGUGUAUUAGGGGUGAUUUAUAUUAUAUUAAAUAUUAUUAAAGAUCUCGAAAUAAAAAUAGCUAAUUUUAUAAAGAAGUUUUUGUAGUAUAAAAGUUUGGAAUAUAAAAUUAGAAGUGAAAUGUUAGUCGAGUUUUAUGAUAUCUAGUUCUUUAAGAAAUAAAUAUAAUUUAGUUUUUAUAAAUAAUAUAGUAUAAAAGUAAAAAAUAGAAGGGAAAAGCUUUUUAUUGGGGAAUAGCUGAAUAAAAUAUAUAUGAGAAUUUAUCUAAGCUUAGAAAUAGCUAUGAUAGUAAAGUGUUUUAAUUAAAAAUUUUAAUAAAAUUAUUUUUAUAGGGCUUUGAUAAAAGAGUAUAUUAGGGAUUUAUUAAGAAUUGAUUAUAAUAAGAUAAAAUGAUUUUAUUAGUAGAAUUUGUUGUUAGAAUAGAGAGUAAACUAGUAAGUAAUUUAUAUUAAUGGAGCGGUAACAUAAAGGAAUUCGGCAAAUAAAUUCUUUGCCUGUUUAUCAAAAACAUGUCUGUUUGGAGUUAUAAAGAGUCUAGCCUGCCCACUGAUUAAUAUUUAAGGGCCGCAGUAUUAUAACUGUGCAAAGGUAGCAUAAUCAUUAGGUUCUUAAUUGGAAUCUUGAAUGAAUGGUUGGACAAAAGAAGUACUGUCUUUAUGUUAAAAUUUUGAAUUUAACUUUUAAGUGAAAAGGCUUAAAUAUUCUAAAGGGACGAUAAGACCCUAUAAAACUUUACAUUAAGAUUAAAUUUUAGUUAAAUUUAAUUAUAAAGAUUUAAUUUAAUUAUUUGUUGUAUUGGGGAGAUAUAGGUAAACCUUUUAUUAACUGCUUAUUGAUCAAACAUUUACUAAUGAAAAGUAAUGGAUCCUUGUUAAAGAUUGUUGAAUUAAGUUACUUUAGGGAUAACAGCGUUAUUUUUUUUGAGAGUUCAUAUCGAAAAAAAAGAUUGCGACCUCGAUGUUGAAUUAAAAUAUCUGUAUAAUGGAGCGGUUAUACAAGAGGGUCUGUUCGACCUUUAAAAUUUUACAUGAUUUGAGUUCAAACCGGCGUGAGCCAGGUUGGUUUCUAUCUUUUAGGUUAUAAGAGUUAUUUUAGUACGAAAGGAGUAAAUAAUUGAAAUAAUUUUAAGUU